rfam:Myotis davidii contig203283, whole genome shotgun sequence.
CCGGAUCCCGGGCCUGGCCCCUCGGGGGCGCUCUCCGCGGGGCCGUGCGGGCACCGAGAUUCCAAAAACAAACGCUUCCCGGGG